UACAGAGGGGGCAAGCGUUGUUCGGAAUUACUGGGCGUAAAGGGCGCGUAGGCGGCCUUCUAAGUCGAACGUGAAAUCCCCGGGCUCAACCCGGGAACUGCGUCCGAUACUGGAUGGCUUGAGUUCGGGAGAGGGAUGCGGAAUUCCAGGUGUAGCGGUGAAAUGCGUAGAUAUCUGGAGGAACACCGGUGGCGAAGGCGGCAUCCUGGACCGAUACUGACGCUGAGGAGCGAAAGCCAGGGGAGCAAACGGG
rnacentral:rRNA from 1 species